UACAGGGGGUGCAAACGUUGCUCGGAAUUAUUGGGCGUAAAGCGCGCGUAGGCGGCUACUUAAGUCGGAUGUGAAAGCCCCUGGCUCAACUGGGGAAGUGCACCCGAAACUGAGUGGCUUGAGUGCGAAAGAGGGUCGCGGAAUUCCCGGUGUAGAGGUGAAAUUCGCAGAUAUCGGGAAGAACACCCGUGGCUAAGGCGGCUCUCUAGUACGGUACUGACGCUGAGACGCGAAAGCGUGGGGAGCGAACAGG
rnacentral:rRNA from 1 species